UACGUAGGGUGCAAGCGUUGUCCGGAUUUAUUGGGCGUAAAGAGCUCGUAGGCGGUCUGUCGCGUCGGAUGUGAAAACCCAGGGCUCAACCCUGGGCCUGCAUUCGAUACGGGCAGGCUCGAGUUCGGUAGGGGAGACUGGAAUUCCUGGUGUAGCGGUGAAAUGCGCAGAUAUCAGGAGGAACACCGAUGGCGAAGGCAGGUCUCUGGGCCGAUACUGACGCUGAGACGCGACGGCGUGGGGAGCAAACCGG
rnacentral:rRNA from 1 species